UGGGGAAUAUUGGACAAUGGGGGAAACCCUGAUCCAGCCACGCCGCGUGAGUGAUGAAGGCCUUCGGGUCGUAAAGCUCUGUGGGGAGGGACGAACGUCCCCGUGAAGAACGGGGGGUGACGGUACCUCCUUAGCAAGCACCGGCUAACUUCGUGCCAGCAGCCGCGGUAAUACGAAGGGUGCAAACGUUGCUCGGAAUCAUUGGGCGUAAAGCGCACGUAGGCGGCCCCAUAAGUCGGAUGUGAAAUCCCUCGGCUCAACCGAGGAAGUGCAUCCGAAACUGCGGGGCUCGAGUAUGGAAGAGGGUCGCAGAAUUCCCGGUGUAGAGGUGAAAUUCGUAGAUAUCGGGAGGAAUACCAGUGGCGAAGGCGGCGACCUGGGCCAAUACUGACGCUGAGGUGCGAAAGCGUGGGGAGCAAACAGG
rnacentral:rRNA from 1 species